UUCGCCAGCCCGCUCAAGAAACUUAAAGGAAGUUGACGGGGGCCCGCACAAGCGGUGGAGCAUGUUGGUUAAUUCGAUGAUACGCGAGGAACCUUACCUGGGCUCAAAUGUAUGUUGACGUAUUCUGAAAGGGAUACUUCUUCGGACAAUAUACAAGGUGCUGCAUGGUUGUCGUCAGCUCGUGCCGUGAGGUGUCGGGUUAAGUCCCAUAACGAGCGCAACCCCUAUCAUUAGUUGCCAUCAGGUCAAGCUGGGGACUCUAAUGAAACUGCCUACGCAAGUAGUGAGGAAGGUGGGGAUGACGUCAAAUCAGCACGGCCCUUACGUCCAGGGCUACACACGUGCUACAAUGGCCGGUACAAAGGGCAGCUACCUGGUGACAGGAUGCUAAUCUCCAAAGUCGGUCUCAGUUCGGAUCGGAGUCUGCAACCCGACUCCGUGAAGUUGGAUUCGCUAGUAAUCGCGCAUCAGCCAUGGCGCGGUGAAUACGUUCCCGGGCCUU
rnacentral:rRNA from 1 species